rnacentral:rRNA from 1 species
GACGAACGCUGGUGGCGUGCUUAACACAUGCAAGUCGAACGGUGAAGCCCAGCUUGCUGGGUGGAUCAGUGGCGAACGGGUGAGUAACACGUGAGCAACCUGCCCUCCACUUCGGGAUAAGCCUUGGAAACGAGGUCUAAUACCGGAUAUGAGCGCCUGCCGCAUGGGGGGCGUUGGAAAGUUUUUCGGUGGGGGAUGGGCUCGCGGCCUAUCAGCUUGUUGGUGGGGUAAUGGCCUACCGAGGCGUCGACGGGUAGCCGGCCUGAGAGGGCGACCGGCCACACUGGGACUGAGACACGGCCCAGACUCCUACGGGAGGCAGCAGUGGGGAAUAUUGCACAAUGGGCGAAAGCCUGAUGCAGCGACGCCACGUGAGGGAUGACGGCCUUCGGGUUGUAAACCUCUUUCAGCAGGGAAGAAGCGCAAGUGACGGUACCUGCAGAAGAAGCGCCGGCUAACUACGUGCCAGCAGCCGCGGUAA